UUUCUUCAGAGACCUUCUUGAUUUUGCCAAAGCCAUGCCAUCUUCACCAUCUAAAUCCAAUAAUAAUCCAUGUUGAUCUUCUCCGAUAGAACUAGCAAUUUGUAUUUUCUUGUCGUGUUCAUGUAUUUUACUGUUUCCUAAUUGUGUAAAGUAUUUUAUAUUUAUAUGAAUUUUGAUACAUUAAUAACACAUUUUUAUAUUUUGGAAC
rnacentral:lncRNA from 1 species